GAUGAACGCUAGCGGCAGGCUUAAUACAUGCAAGUCGAGGGGCAGCAGGUUUGUAGCAAUACAGAUGCUGGCGACCGGCAAACGGGUGCGGAACACGUACAGAACCUUCCUUUAAGCGGGGAAUAGCCCAGAGAAAUUUGGAUUAAUACCCCAUAGUAUUGUUGAGUGGCAUCACUUGAUGAUUAAAGAUUUAUCACUUAAAGAUGGCUGUGCGGCUGAUUAGGUAGUUGGCGGGGUAACGGCCCACCAAGCCUUCGAUCAGUAACUGGUGUGAGAGCACGACCAGUCACACGGGCACUGAGACACGGGCCCGACUCCUACGGGAGGCAGCAGUAAGGAAUAUUGGGCAAUGGACGGAAGUCUGACCCAGCCAUGCCGCGUGGAGGAUGAAGGUCCUCUGGAUUGUAAACUUCUUUUAUUUGGGAAGAAACCCGAUUUUUCUAAGUCGGUUGACGGUACCAGAUGAAUAAGCACCGGCUAACUCCGUGCCAGCAGCCGCGGUAAAAC
rnacentral:rRNA from 1 species